GAUGAACGCUGGCGGCGUGCCUAAUACAUGCAAGUCGAGCGAACAGACGAGGAGCUUGCUCCUCUGACGUUAGCGGCGGACGGGUGAGUAACACGUGGAUAACCUACCUAUAAGACUGGGAUAACUUCGGGAAACCGGAGCUAAUACCGGAUAAUAUAUUGAACCGCAUGGUUCAAUAGUGAAAGACGGUGUUGCUGUCACUUAUAGAUGGAUCCGCGCCGCAUUAGCUAGUUGGUAAGGUAACGGCUUACCAAGGCAACGAUGCGUAGCCGAACUGAGAGGGUGGUCGGCCACCCUGGAACUGGACCACGGUCCAGACUCCUACGGGAGGCAGCAGUAGGGAAUCUUCCGCAGUGGGCGAAAGCCUGACGGAGCAACGCCGCGUGAGUGAUGAAGGUCUUCGGAUCGUAAAACUCUGUUAUUAGGGAAGAACAAAUGUGUACGUAAAUAUGCACGUCUUGACGGUACCUAAUCAGAAAGCCACGGCUAACUACGUG
rnacentral:rRNA from 1 species